rnacentral:rRNA from 1 species
UACGUAGGGUGCAAGCGUUAAUCGGAAUUACUGGGCGUAAAGCGUGCGCAGGCGGUUAUGUAAGACAGGUGUGAAAUCCCAGGGCUUAACCUUGGAACUGCAUUUGUGACUGCAUGGCUGGAGUGCGGCAGAGGGGGAUGGAAUUCCGCGUGUAGCAGUGAAAUGCGUAGAUAUGCGGAGGAACACCGAUGGCGAAGGCAGCCCCCUGGGCUAACACUGACGCUCAGGCACGAAAGCGUGGGGAGCAAACAGG